rnacentral:rRNA from 1 species
CCUACGGGAGGCUGCAGUGAGGAAUAUUGGUCAAUGGGCGCGAGCCUGAACCAGCCAAGUAGCGUGAAGGAUGACUGCCCUACGGGUUGUAAACUUCUUUUAUAAGGGAAUAAAAUGCGGCACGCGUGCCGUCUUGGAUGUACUUUGUGAAUAAGGAUCGGCUAACUCCGUGCCAGCAGCCGCGGUAAUACGGAGGAUGCGAGCGUUAUCCGGAUUUAUUGGGUUUAAAGGGAGCGUAGACGGGUUGUUAAGUCGGUUGUGAAAGUUUGCGGCUCAACCGUAAAAGUGCAAGUGAUACUGGCAGUCUUGAGUACAGUUGAGGUAGGCGGAAUGCGUGGUGUAGCGGUGAAAUGCAUAGAUAUCACGCAGAACCCCGAUUGCGAAGGCAGCUUACUAUGCUAUAACUGACACUGAAGCACGAAAGCGUGGGGAUCAAACAGGAUUAGAUACCCGGGUAGUC